UACGUAGGGGGCUAGCGUUGUCCGGAAUCAUUGGGCGUAAAGCGCGUGUAGGCGGUCCGGUAAGUCCGCUGUGAAAGUCGGGGGCUCAACCCUCGGAUGCCGGUGGAUACUGUCGGGCUUGAGUACGGAAGAGGCGAGUGGAAUUCCUGGUGUAGCGGUGGAAUGCGCAGAUAUCAGGAGGAACACCAAUUGCGAAGGCAGCUCGCUGGGACGUUACUGACGCUGAGACGCGAAAGCGUGGGGAGCAAACAGG
rnacentral:rRNA from 1 species